rnacentral:tRNA from 1 species
AAGCUUAGGUUAAACUAAACCAGGGGCCUUCAAAGCCCCAAACAUGAGCACACACCCUCCUAGCCUCU